AGAGUUUGAUCCUGGCUCAGAAUGAACGCUAGCGGCGUACCUAAUACAUGCAAGUCGUACGAAGAUAUUUAUAUCUUAGUGGCGAACGGGUGAGUAAUGCGUGCUUAAUCUACCUUUAGGAUAGGAAUAACUAGUGGAAACAUUAGCUAAUACCUAAUAUGUGUUAUUGAUACUUUCGAUAAUAUAAAAGGGGCGUUGCCCCACCUUUAAAUGAGAGCACGUUGCAUUAGCUAGUUGGUAAGGUAAUGGCUUACCAAGGCAAUUAUGCAUAGCUGGUCUAAGAGGAUGUACAGCCACAUUGGGACUGAGAUACGGCCCAAACUCCUACGGGAGGCAGCAGUAGGGAAUUUUCCGCAAUGGACGAAAGUCUGACGGAGUGACGUCGCGUGUUUGAUGAAGGUCUUCGGAUUGUAAAAAACUGUGGUGUAACAUGAAAUAUAUCCUAGGAAAUGAGGAUAUCUUGACAGUAUUACAUUAGAAAGUCAUGGCUAACUACGUGCCAGCAGCCGCGGUAAUACGUAGAUGGCAAGCGUUAUUCGGAUUCAUUGGGCGUAAAGUGUGUGUAGAUGAUAUAUUAAGUCAAAAAUUAAAGGCAUAAGCUUAACUUAUUGUUUAUUUUUGAAACUAAUAUAUUAGAGUGUGAUAGAGAUUAACGGAACUCCAUAUGUAGCGGUGGAAUGCGUAGAUAUAUGGAAGAACAUCAACGGCGAAGGCAGUUAAUCAGGUCACUACUGACAUUGAGACACGAAAGCGUGGGGAGCAAAUAGGAUUAGAUACCCUAGUAGUCCACGCUGUAAACGAUGAGUAUUGAAUGUAAGUUUUAAAACUUGUAUUGAAGCUAACGCGUUAAAUACUCCGCCUGGAUAGUAUGCUCGCAAGAGUGAAACUCAAAGGAAUUGACGGGGACCCGCACAAGCGGUGGAGCAUGUGGUUUAAUUCGACGCUACGCGAAGAACCUUACCAAGGUUUGACAUCCCUUGCAAAGCUAUAGAAAUAUAGUGGAGGUUAUCAAGGUGACAGGUGGUGCAUGGCUGUCGUCAGCUCGUG
rnacentral:rRNA from 1 species